AUUUAAAUGAGCUUGUUUUGUUACAGGACAUGGUGUCAGAGUUAAGUUUUUCUGCAGGACCUUUGCACUAAUUCUUUUUGGAACGACCUGUCCUCCGUCAGAAAUGUAGUUUUUGAAUGAUUUUAUUAUUAACCUUUUUCCACUGCAGCCAUUGGGCCACCUGCACCAAAUAACUCACCCAUAGAUAACUUACUACACCCACAGUUUCACAUCCCACUGGUUUAGACUCAGACUACCUGACUAACUAGAUGCCAUGUCCUCGGCUGAAGUACAAAACCGCUUAUCAGGAAAAAUACUGAGGAAAUAUUGUUCAAAUAGUUUAAAAAAAUGUACUUUUGAGAAAAUGUCUUACCUGAUUGGAUUGGUUUUGGCAGGUGUGUAUUUUCUGUCAUAGCAUAGGACAAUAUUUUGUAUUAUCAACAUCUGAAGUUCUAAUCAGAACAGUAUGCAAAUUUGGCCCUGCAUGUCCUGGAUGUCCUUGAACAGAAGUGUUAGGUGAGACACAUUCAGUCACAAGGUGUAACUUCACCAUAACGUGUUACUAAAAACCAACAUUUUUUUCUGUUUAUGUACAAUUUGGUGUGUGAUUCAGAACUUGCUGAUGUUGCGGUGCACUUGGAAUCAUAUUUUGAGCACAAUGUGCCCCACAAGGUUAUUUGACAUAUCCUAGAAUCGUUAUCCAUCAUAGAUCUAAACUCACAGGAUUCAUAGCUGUGACUGUGGUGGUCAUUUUUCAUGUACUUUACAGGAAGAUUUCGUACGUUUUUACGUCACUGCCUGUCGUGUAAAAACAUUAAGACCAAACGCAGCCUCUGCCCAGACCGUUGUCACCAUGUUUGAUUCAUUUCCUCUCUUACUACUUUGUUUUUGUUUAUAUGACCUAAAAAUGAUUUAUUUAUUAAAGAAAAACUAAUUUCAGAGGUUUUAUGGUUUAACUAGUUGUCAGUACUGAGACUGCCCUGCCUCCCUUUAUAACAAGCAGAUUGAAUUUAUUAUUUUAAGUCUGAAUGAAUGAAUGAAUGAAUGCUCUGUGAUCUACAUUGGACUGGAGUCACGUCUUUGUCUGUACUUACGGUACGUGUCGUGAGGACCAAUAAAACUCUGGGGGAUGAAGGUUGGAA